rfam:Trichobilharzia regenti genome assembly, scaffold: TRE_scaffold0004333
AUCCAGAAGACGAGUCCCAAAUAGGACGAAAUGCGCAUCCUGGAU